rnacentral:tRNA from 2 species
GCCGAGGUAGCUCAGCGGUAGAGCGCUGCCCUGAAAAGGCAGGCGUGGCGUGUUCGACUCACGCCCUCGGCACCA